CGGCGCGGACACUCUACGCGGCCGAGACGGCUCCUCCUCACCGCCACCCGGCUCCCCCACCUGGGGCCGCCCCUGUUCGGGACCCUCCCGCUGCAGGCGAGGAGCGCGACUCCGCUCCCGCCGCUGAGGGUCCCACCGCACCGCCCGGGGCCGGGCUCCCCCUCUCCGCGCCGCUCGCACUCGGACCAGGCGCCACCGCGGUCCCGCGCCCUGCCUCAGCCACACACACCAAGGAAGGAGCCCGGACACGGCGCCGUACCGCCCGCCGCCGCCUCCCGCUCCCCUACCGCCCGCGGCCCCGCUACUGGCAGUGAGCAUCUUGCUCGCUCGGCCCCCUAUAUAGGGCGGGCCGGGCAGCCGAGCCCCUCCUCCGGGCUCCCCAGCCCUCCCCCGGCCCGGCCCGGCCCGUCCCACAUUCCCGGGACCCCCCGCUCCUCCCUGCCCCGCUCCGCCCCGCCGCCGGGGGCGGGUCUCGCGGCAGCGCCAGGCCCUCGCCCGGCCGGAACAGGCCCGGCCGGUUCUCCGCGCCGCUCGGGUGCGGGCGCCCCGGCAACUGCCAGCGGCCGGGGCUCGGCAGACGCCCGCCCCCCGCGGCGGGACGCGGGGACUACACGUCCCAGGGUGCGCAGCGCCCCGCGGGCCCCCGCCGUAGCGCCAUCUCGAGGCAGCGGCCGUGACAGCGGGCGGUUCGGCCGGGGCCGGGGAGGAGCGGCGGCGGCGGGUGGGGGGGAAACGGCGUGUCAGGCAGGCCCGCGGCGGCCCUUACGGCGCCGGAGCGUGGGUGAAAAGAGCACGAACGAACGUAAAGGGCUCGCGCUCACGGCUAGAGACGCACGGAAGCGGCGAGCUGCCGGGGUCCCCGCGGGUUCCGUGGAGGCCUGGGGGCCUAGGGUUUCCCUGCUGUGCAACGAGGAGCCGCUUAACAAAACCCCAGUGUUUUGGUUGUUGGUUUUGGGGGGGAGGGGAACGUCAGUCAGCCAAAUACAGACACUAUUAAUGUCUAACCAACCACCGAGUGAAAUGGGGACUCUGGGGUGCCGGCACGCAGAAAGCGUUAUCUCCCGUUCUGCCGCUUCCUGCAUACAAUAUAUACACACCAGCGGGCAGGGGGGCCGGGAGCGGCGGCGGCCGGGCGCUCGCAGCCGGAGGGGCUUCGCCAGACGCAGGCGGGCAGGACUCACCCCGCCGGCAGGCAUGUGCCGGAGCGCUGCGCUGCGCGUCCUUCUCUGCGCGGCCGCCACUUUUCAGAAAAGCUGCUGGGACUUUGUAUUUGCGAACGCUGCCUCUGCGAUUUAG
rnacentral:lncRNA from 1 species